rnacentral:rRNA from 1 species
UACGUAGGGUGCGAGCGUUGUCCGGAAUUAUUGGGCGUAAAGGGCUCGUAGGCGGCCAACUAAGUCCGACGUGAAAUCCCCAGGCUUAACCUGGGAACUGCGUCGGGAUACUGGAUGGCUUGAAUUCGGGAGAGGGAUGCAGAAUUCCAGGUGUAGCGGUGAAAUUCGUAGAUAUCGGGAGGAACACCAGUGGCGAAGGCGGCGACCUGGGCCAAUAUUGACGCUGAGGUGCGAAAGCGUGGGGAGCAAACAGG